rnacentral:lncRNA from 1 species
GUCAAAAGCUUGGUCUAAGACUGGCAUGGGCACCACACUUGAUGGAAACUGAAGUGGACCCAAUACUAUUGACUACAUUACCAUAUCAUAAUGUCUCCUUCUUCCCAUAGCCGUGAUUAGCGCAGGGCCAAGGAAAUCUGAAAAAAAAAUUGGUGAUAGAGAUCAGGAAACAAACAACAAUGGAUAGGUUUGUAUUUGAGGGAGUCACAAGAGAACCUGUCUUUUUUAACCUCAAAGAGAUGCUAGAUUCCAUGCAACAACUCUGCUAUAGCUUACUGUGAGGUUUCAAGAGAUUCCUCUCCAUGCAGCUCACUACUACCCUUCAUGCAUCAACUAGAUCAUAACUGCUGAGGUCUUUGAGGUAGUUGAGAUUUCUGUACUUGUUUAUGAAAUCUAAUCUGUAGUGUCGGUGAAUUUAGUUCAUUAAUUAAAAAAUGUGGUAGCAUCUCAAAUGUAGAGGGCUAUAGAAGUCUUGCAGAGCAUAAAUCAAAGGAAAGAAAUCAGAUUGGCAUAUGAUCUGGAUCACAUUUAACAAAGGAUCUGUCAUGAGUCAAUGUUGCACGACUUUAAUUAAACAUGGACGAUAAAGCAGUAGAAACACAAAACUUGCCUAUCUUUAUGACUCAAAACUGCACCACAUAGAAGCUUAAAACUUGUAAUGCCAAGCCGGCAAAUAUAAGCAUAAAAAACUCAGGUAUGUGUAUGAUAAGGACCACAAAUCAUAAUCAUUCAAUUGGAACAUUAGAUAUUCGUGAAUUAAGGGAGACCAUCCAUUAUAAAUAUCUAACGACUUAACACUUUAUGUGAUACCUCUCAUCACGCUCUUUAUAUCUGUCGUACCUUUAGCUGAAACAUUAUAUUAUAGACUCUGCAACAUUUCACACGCAAAGGAUAUCAAAAGCAAUAAGGAAAACACGCAUCAAUGCCCUUUUGGUGCUUCAUGAACGCGUAGCAGAAUAAGACCCAAGCCACAAAAGAAAGCAUCAGUCAUCUCCAUGAGGCCAUUAAACCACCAGUCUCUGAGCUUUACUGAAUCCCUCUUUGAUUGGUGUAAAUAUUGUUUAGUUUGGUAUUCAUAGAUGGGAAAAAUUUCAAAACCAGUGCGCUCCAACGUUCAAAAAAUAUUAUAACCCUCGUGAUG